GCGCAGCAUUUGCUCAAUUCGAUGGCUACAAACAGAUUGCGAUGCAUUUCUAAUGACCCAGCAGCCAUUUAGAAACAACAAAUCCUUUAAAAAAAGGUUAUUUCUUAAUAAAAUAAUGUAUUCUGGCAGUUUAAAAUCGGCCACAUCUUGAAAAAGAAGACAGGGAUAUGCAUUUAGGUUUUACACCUUUUUCUGAAAAAAUUAUACGGUUAACUAUGACCAGAAAACGUUUAACGUUUGAAGGCUACACUCCAGCCAUCUCUAGCCACUGUAGGUCACCACAACGUGAGCGCUCACCAAGUAGCCGUAACCUUGUUAAUGCUGAGUUAGUUACCUGAGUGGCCUGGCUGCUUUGGGCUGGGCUGUGAGGUGGUCUCUGGGUGCUGGUCUAGGCAGAGAGGCAGAGCCUGCAGUGGUGGAGUGGCUGUGGGUGUUGAGGUGGUGCCCGUGCCUGUCCAUGCCCGGGGUCCGGAGUAGAUAGCAGCUAAAAUGUUUUGCUCUGCCCUCCCAACAGACGCUGGUUGGAGGGAGCUUCAGCAAUGGACUCAGGAACAGCAAGCGUUUAAUGCCACAGCGGUGGUCCGUCACAUGAGGCGUCUCUAGCUGGGACCAUGUCAGGAGGUGCCGAGCCAGACCACCCUGCUCAGCCACUGCAGAAGUGGCUCCCAGCCAGACCACCCUGCCUAGCCCCUGUAGAAGCCAUCUGCUGCUGCCUGAGGGGGAACACACAGAGUCUCCCGUUGAGGGUGGCUACUCCCAGAGUGCGAACCAGCGGGGCAGAACGAGACUCCCUGGCCAACUGUACCUACCGCUGCCAUCCAACCAGCUGCAUCUGAUCCCCCGGCCACCUGUAGUGUGGCCAACCAAUGACUUUCCCACUUUCCAGUCUGGCCCCGAACACAGAGUUGUUGUUCCAGCGCCCCUUCACCAGAUGGGGCAGGGAUGUUAAGAACCCAGGGUGGGGAGGAGGGAAGAGGGGAUUCUAUGAUGCCAUUGCCAACAGAGGAGGUCACUUGACCUAGAUUGGGGUGAGAGUGGAGGAUGAACUGAGAGAGGAGAAGAGAAGGAGGCAAGCUUAAGGAGAGGUGUUGUACCCAGUGUAUUCCUGGGUGUUAUUAGUUUGGGAGUGGGACAGAGCUUGGACAGUGUUUUUACUCAUGCUUUUUAAAAGUGUAUGUCUGCUUUUUUUCAUCUCUGUAUUUCUGUACAUGCUGUUUUUUUCAUUGUCGUUAUCCUUCCCCCUUGACAACGUAUAGAGGAUUGAUCCACUGAUGCUACUUGCAUGAUCAGAGAACAGGCAGACAGGUCCCAAUGCAUGUUGACUGACAACAGGUGUUUUUAUAACAUAAGGAGUCUACUGCAGAACUAUGUGUAUGCGGUACCACCCAUUGUGGAAUAGUUUCUGUACAGCAGAUAUUGUAGCUAAUAGCUCACAAGAGAUGGACUUACAUGCAAAGCCAUUCCUCAAAAAACUAAGAAUAGGUGUCUGUUAACCUACAGAGGUCUCGGUUAACCCACAGUUUUACUCCCUGAUGUUUAAACCACAUUCUAACCUGAAAGUGCAAUAUUAUCCCGUUGAUAAAGACACUUUUGGGGGAGAGUUUCAGCCUGCCUUUCAACUGGUCAAAACUUAAUCCAUUUAAGUUAUUAAGAACAUGGAAGAUGUAAUGAGCUCAGCCCUCUUGCUUAAGGGCAGGGAAUAGAUGUGUGUGAAUACAAAGCCAAAUGUGGAUAUGUUUUUCACUGUGUACAUGCAACCAAUUAACAUUCCCUUUUGGAUCACCCUUCCAUGGGUCUUUUCUUAAUUCAUUUUGGGGUUGUUUUUUCAAGCAAUUUUAUGUGUACAGAGAGAACUUGAAUUAAUGAAAGUAAAUAAUAAUCCAUCAUUACAUCUGUCACUCUCGCUCUCACCAUGAGGUCACGUUAAAUUGUUGAUACCUUUAAUAACCUAUUGCACAUACAAAAGUGACAUUUUUUGUUAUUCACUUAAGACCACUCCAUUUGUUUUUGCACCACCCUAUUUUCCAAAUACUCUGUUUAAAUGUCCAUAAUUUGAAUGUAUGUAUGCGAAACAACUUGACCUGGCAACCUUUGGGGUCUAAAAUGUUGAGAUUAAGUGGCAUUGAAAAGUCUGACAUGGAAUACAUAACCUAACUUGUGAUCUGUGUAAGAGGCAAUAUAGUGAGAAAUUGUCAGUUGUAACCCAUUCGGCUUAGGUUUUCAGCCCUCUAUCAAAAUAUUACAAGUCAUAUGAGCUUAGAAUUGGUUAAUUAACAACAUUUGGGAUCUAAGAUGUUAAGAAAAGUGGUAUUGAAGAGUCUGACAUGGAAUAUCAUGCCUAACCCUAACCUGUGAAAAAUGUAUGUACUACCACAAUAUCCGACCUACCCCUAAUUCAGUAGUGGUCUUCAGUGAGGUGCGCAGUUGCAUGUUCUGUCCUCCAUGACAUUCAUCUAAUUAGAUUAGAACAGAAUGGAUCAACAGUGAUUAAUAUCUCUGGUUUACAUCCCAAAAUAUAUUGCAUUCAUUGUUCUCACAGCCCUUUAUAUAAUGAGAAUAAGGACAGGUGUCACAUGAUAGGUAAACAUGUUUGGAGAAUUUGACAUAGUGGUUCCCAUCUUGACUUCUUUGACAAAUGCUUUACAUCAUGAGAAAAAUGCAGUUUAAAGCCAUUUUGACUGUGACCCUAUGAAUGAACCUGCUAUUCAACAUGUUUGGCUUGGAGUCUUGCAUCAGCAGUUAUCUGGCUGCUGUGAUGACAGUAAUACUGGAGGUCCAUGGUACCUCAGUGUCACGUCCUGACCAGUAAAGGGGUUAUUUGUUAUUAUAGUUUGGUCAGGACGUGGCAGGGGUGU